rnacentral:rRNA from 1 species
GACGUAGGGCGCGAGCGUUGUCCGGAUUUAUUGGGCGUAAAGAGCUCGUAGGCGGUCUGUUGCGUCCGCUGUGAAAACUCGGGGCUUAACCCCGAGCCUGCAGUGGAUACGGGCAGACUAGAGGUAGGUAGGGGAGAAUGGAAUUCCCGGUGUAGCGGUGAAAUGCGCAGAUAUCGGGAAGAACACCCGUGGCGAAGGCGGUUCUCUGGGACGGUACUGACGCUGAGACGCGAAAGCGUGGGGAGCGAACAGG